AUGAUCUGGAAAGCAAAAGUCCCAGAAAAAGUUAAGAUCUUUGCGUGGCGGGUGGCCACUGAAACCCUCCCAACAAAGAAGAAUAAAUGGAAACGAACUAUUGAGACUGACAGUGUCUGUACGAUCUGCGGGAGGGAAGAGGAAGAUGAGUUCCAUGCUGUCAUCAAGUGCACCAAAGCACGAGCGAUCAGAGAGGAAAUGCGGAAGCAUUGGAACUUGCCGACAGAGGAUCAAUUUCGUUUUACUGGAAACGAUUGGCUUCACAAUCUUCUGGGCAAACAUACUGCCGAUGUACGUAGCAAAACCAUGCUCCUGUUAUGGAGGGCCUGGUGGCUCCGUGAUGAUUGCUUCCAUGGGGAAGGCAAAGCAACGAUAGGACAGUCCGUCCAGUUCCUAGCUAAAUAUGCUACAGAGAUUGGAAUUAGUGGAUCAGUGAACACUCCGACACAUACCACCUGA
rnacentral:rRNA from 1 species